rnacentral:misc_RNA from 1 species
AACUUCUUUCAAAUUGACGUUGCUAUAGAGUAUUUUCUUGUUACUGCUGUAAAUGACAGUUGGCCUAUCUGAUGCAGCAAAUACAUGGGUGGUGUUCUUAGAGGAGAAAGUACGGAGUGUUAUAGGCUGAGUCCCUAAAGACACCUUUUUCCUAUCCGUCAACUCGCCAGUAUUCAGAUUCAAUAAGAAGUUCAAAAGAUGACCAUCUCCAAGGGCACAUAACAAGUAAGAUAUCCCUUCAAAGGAACAUAGAAGAACAGAACGAGGUAUUAUCUCCCCUCCCAAAUGCUCCUUUGUUAUAACAUUUAGGUCAGGCAAUGAAAAUAUCCUGACACUUAUAUCUGUCCACAUUCCGACUGCAGCAAGCUGACUAUAGUUGGGAUUUUCACCAAUGGGGUUAAUGUCAAGGCAUGAUAUCUCAUACUCCA